rnacentral:rRNA from 1 species
CCUACGGGAGGCAGCAGUAGGGAAUAUUGGGCAAUGGAGGCAACUCUGACCCAGCCAUGCCGCGUGCAGGAUGAAGGCGUUAUGCGUUGUAAACUGCUUUUAUAUAGGAAGAAAUAGACCUUGCGAGGUAAGUUGACGGUACUAUAUGAAUAAGCACCGGCUAACUCCGUGCCAGCAGCCGCGGUAAUACGGAGGGUGCAAGCGUUGUCCGGAUUUAUUGGGUUUAAAGGGUGCGUAGGCGGUUUAUUAAGUCAGUGGUGAAAGACGGUCGCUCAACGAUUGCAGUGCCAUUGAUACUGGUAGACUUGAGUGGGAUUGAGGUAGCUGGAAUGGAUAGUGUAGCGGUGAAAUGCAUAGAUAUUAUCCAGAACACCAAUUGCGUAGGCAAGUUACUAAGUCUCAACUGACGCUGAGGCACGAAAGUGUGGGUAUCAAACAGGAUUAGAUACCCUGGUAGUCCACACUGUAAACGAUGAUAACUAACUGUUGGCUUUCGGGUCAGUGGUACAGAGAAAUCGUUAAGUUAUCCACNGGAGACGCGCGACGAGAACGUACGAAGUAGAGUAGUACGGCGUGAGACGUAGACGACGGACGACGACGAGGGAGGAGG